rnacentral:rRNA from 1 species
GACGUAGGAUGCGAGCGUUAUUCGGAUUUAUUGGGCGUAAAGCGUGCGUAGGCGGCUGUUUAAGUCUGGUGUUAAAGCUAGGGCUCAACCCUGUGGUGCAUCGGAUACUGGGCAGCUUGAGUGCGGUAGGGAAGGUGGAAUUCCGAGUGUAGCGGUGAAAUGCGUAGAUAUUCGGAAGAACACCGGUGGCGAAGGCGACCUUCUGGGCCGCAACGUGACGCUGAGGCACGAAAGCCUGGGAGCGAACGGG